GGAGGAAAGGAAAAAGAAAAGAAGGAAAGCAAUGUUUAAGCCUAGAAUAAAAUUAAAAUUUUUUCACCUUGUUUUUACAUCUAUUCUCCUCCACAGUUUGGAGAUGCACUUAAUAAGACUAAUUAUGGUUUUGGACAGACAAUAAUUCUUAAAGUGAGUGCCUCCCCUUCUCAGUCAGCAAGAUCUGCAAUGCGUGCUGGUUUGAAGGAUGCCUAUGUAUCAGUAAUAAAUAUGUUUGAUGAAAACACAUCUCAAAAUGAAGAUACUAUAUCUACUGCAAUUGAAAAUGCAAUUAAAAAUGGCAGCACAAACGUGACAAACUAUGUUA